rnacentral:rRNA from 1 species
UACGUAGGGCGCAAGCGUUGUCCGGAAUUAUUGGGCGUAAAGAGCUCGUAGGCGGUCUGUCGCGUCUGCUGUGAAAACCCGAGGCUCAACCUCGGGCCUGCAGUGGGUACGGGCAGACUAGAGUGCGGUAGGGGAGAAUGGAAUUCCUGGUGUAGCGGUGGAAUGCGCAGAUAUCAGGAGGAACACCAAUGGCGAAGGCAGCACUCUGGUACGUGACUGACGCUGAGACGCGAAAGCGUGGGGAGCAAACAGG